UACGUAGGGGACGAGCGUUAUCCGGAAUUACUGGGCGUAAAGGGUGCGUAGGCGGUCUUUCAAGCCAGAAGUGAAAGGCUACGGCUCAACCGUAGUAAGCUUUUGGAACUGUAAGACUUGAGUGCAGGAGAGGAGAGCGGAAUUCCCGGUGUAGCGGUGAAAUGCGUAGAUAUCGGGAAGAACACCAGUGGCGAAGGCGGCUUCCUGGCCUGUACCUGACGCUGAGAGGCGAAAGCUAGGGUAGCAAACGGGCUUAGAUACCCCCGUAGUCCCUGAGCGGGCU
rnacentral:rRNA from 1 species